rnacentral:rRNA from 1 species
AUUGAACGCUGGCGGCAGGCCUAACACAUGCAAGUCGAGCGGAUGAAGGGAGCUUGCUCCUGGAUUCAGCGGCGGACGGGUGAGUAAUGCCUAGGAAUCUGCCUGGUAGUGGGGGAUAACGUCUGGAAACGGGCGCUAAUACAGCAUACGUCCUGAGGGUGAAAGUGGGGGAUCUUCGGACCUCACGCUAUCAGAUGAGCCUAGGUCGGAUUAGCUAGUUGGUGGGGUAAAGGCCUACCAAGGCGACGAUCCGUAACUGGUCUGAGAGGAUGAUCAGUCACACUGGAACUGAGACACGGUCCAGACUCCUACGGGAGGCAGCAGUGGGGAAUAUUGGACAAUGGGCGAAAGCCUGAUCCAGCCAUGCCGCGUGUGUGAAGAAGGUCUUCGGAUUGUAAAGCACUUUAAGUUGGGAGGAAGGGCAGUAAGUUAAUACCUUGCUGUUUUGACGGUACCAACAGAAUAAGCACCGGCUAACUUCGUG